AUGUUAGGUCUCCUUAGUUCCAAAUAUGGUUUUACAGGUUCUAAAAUUAUUUCUUUGAUGCGAGGUGCCAUGCUGUGGAUAACAAGGAGAUUAUCAAGGCGGAGCGGCGGUGAGUAUGGAGCUCAUAAUCAUCAGUUCAUCACCAUGAAGCAGAAGGAAUGGUAUAGCUUUGCCAUGAUCGAGCAAUUCCUCUGUUUCUUCCUCUCGGGCGAUAUGUCGACCUCCUCGUCAGCCCCCCGUUCCACGUGGCCGGUGUAUGGUCCAGUGCCGAUGACUCGAUGCACUGACUGCCCAUGGACUGCGCCAUUGAAGCGGUUGACUUCGAAGGAGGAGAAGAAUGGGAACUUUGGGCGCGAGUUCGUCAAAUGCGAGAGCAAGCCGGAGGGGCAGAUCAUGAAGAAAUGCCACCAUUUCGAGUGGAUGGAUGAUUACAUCCAGAGGCUUCAAGGGUUGGGCUUGCUGGAUUCGAGGGGGAAUGCAAUCCGCGAGUUCAAUCUUCCCCAUGACAGUGCCGCUCCGGCAGCAGUAGCGCGUUCGGAAUACCCGAUGGUGGUAGAUGUCGAACUGAAGACGGAAUUGAAGAAGAUGAACAAGUACUUCAAGCAGCUGAUUGAGUUGAAGAAGCAAUCCAAUCUGAUAGCUUUAGGAAUACUUGCUCUAGGAAUUUUUUACUUGAUGGCCAUCUCUCGUUAG
rnacentral:rRNA from 1 species